CCCGUCUUGAAACCCGAACCAAGGAGUGCAAGAGGCUUGCGAGCCUUCGGGAGACGUCGUCGGUUUUGCCGCGGCGGUUACCAAACCCGGAGAGGCGUAGUGAGAGCGAGUGCCGAGCAAUCGGCCGGUGCGAGAACCCGGUGGUGACGUCGGGUGCAUCGCGAACCGAGCCAAAUGGCCACGCCGUGGCCGGCUUCGAGUGGGAGCGUGCCUGUUGCGACCCGAAAGAUGGUGAACUAUGCCCGAGCAGGGCGAAGCCAGGGGAAACUCUGGUGGAGGCCCGCAGCGGUUCUGACGUGCAAAUCGAUCGUGAGACUUGGGUAUAGGGGCGAAAGACUAAUCGAACCGUCUAGUAGCUGGUUCCCUCCGAAGUUUCCCUCAGGAUAGCUGGAGCCUGGUAUCAGUUUCGUCGGGUAGAGCGAAUGAUUAGAGGUAUCGGGGUCGAAAUGACCUCGACCUAUUCUCAAACUUCGAAUUGGCGAGUCUGGUCGGGCCCUUGCCUUGCGGAAGGGCCCGAUGUUCCGUAAUGUAUGGGCUCUCGGUGGGCCGUUUUUGGUAAGCAGAACCGGCGAUGCGGGAUGAACCGAACGCUGGGCUAAGGCGCCGGAGUCGACGCUGAACAGACACCACAAAAGGUGUUGGUUGAU
rnacentral:rRNA from 1 species